rnacentral:rRNA from 1 species
CACCAGACUCCUACGGGAGGCAGCAGUGGGGGAUAUUGCACAAUGGGGGAAACCCUGAUGCAGCGACGCCGCGUGGGUGAAGAAGUAUUUCGGUAUGUAAAGCCCUCUCAGCAGGGAAGAAAGAAGACGGUACCUGACUAAGAAGCCCCGGCUAACUACGUGCCAGCAGCCGCGGUAAUACGUAGGGGGCGAGCGUUAUCCGGAUUUACUGGGUGUAAAGGGAGCGUAGACGGCAGCACAAGUCUGGAGUGAAAUCCCGGGGCUUAACCCCGGAACUGCUUUGGAAACUGUGUAACUGGAGUACAGGAGGGGCAGGCGGAAUUCCUGGUGUAGCGGUGAAAUGCGUAGAUAUCAGGAGGAACACCGGCGGCGAAGGCGGCCUGCUGGACUGAAACUGACGUUGAGGCUCGAAAGCGUGGGGAGCAAACAGGAUUAGAUACCCCAGUA